GACGAACGCUGGCGGCGUGCUUAACACAUGCAAGUCGAACGGUGAAGCUCCAGCUUGCUGGAGUGGAUCAGUGGCGAACGGGUGAGUAACACGUGAGCAACCUGCCCCUGACUCUGGAAUAAGCGCUGGAAACGGCGUCUAAUACUGGAUACGAGAAGGGUCCGCAUGGGCACUUUCUGGGAAGUUUUUCGGUUGGGGAUGGGCUCGCGGCCUAUCAGCUUGUUGGUGAGGUAAUGGCUCACCAAGGCGACGACGGGUAGCCGGCCUGAGAGGGCGACCGGCCACACUGGGACUGAGACACGGCCCAGACUCCUACGGGAGGCAGCAGUGGGAAAUAUUGCACAAUGGGCGAAAGCCUGAUGCAGCGACGCCGCGUGAGGGAUGACGGCCUUCGGGUUGUAGACCUCUUUCAGCAGGGAAGAAGCGAAAGUGACGGUACCUGCAGAAGAAGCACCGGCUAACUACGUG
rnacentral:rRNA from 1 species